ACGGGUGAGUAAUGCCUAGGAAUCUGCCUGGUAGUGGGGGGCAACGUCUCGAAAGGGACGCUAAUACCGCAUACGUCCUACGGGAGAAAGCAGGGGACCUUCGGGCCUUGCGCUAUCAGAUGAGCCUAGGUCGGAUUAGCUAGUUGGUGAGGUAAUGGCUCACCAAGGCGACGAUCCGUAACUGGUCUGAGAGGAUGAUCAGUCACACUGGAACUGAGACACGGUCCAGACUCCUACGGGAGGCAGCAGUGGGGAAUAUUGGACAAUGGGCGAAAGCCUGAUCCAGCCAUGCCACGUGUGUGAAGAAGGUCUUCGGAUUGUAAAGCACUUUAAGUUGGGAGGAAGGGCAUUAACCUAAUACGUUAGUGUUUUGACGUUACCGACAGAAUAAGCACCGGCUAACUCUGUGCCAGCAGCCGCGGUAAUACAGAGGGUGCAAGCGUUAAUCGGAAUUACUGGGCGUAAAGCGCGCGUAGGUGGUUUGUUAAGUUGAAUGUGAAAUCCCCGGGCUCAACCUGGGAACUGCAUCCAAAACUGGCAAGCUAGAGUAGGGCAGAGGGUGGUGGAAUUUCCUGUGUAGCGGUGA
rnacentral:rRNA from 1 species